rnacentral:rRNA from 1 species
GGCUCUCUGUUUACAUAAAUAUAGGGAGUCGAGCCUGCCCAGUGAAUUUUUAAACGGCCGCGGUACUCUGACCGUGCAAAGGUAGCAUAAUCAUUUGCCUUAUAAUUGAAGGCUGGUAUGAAUGGUUUGACGAGAGCAACACUGUCUCCUUUUUAUUUUCAAGAACUUAACUUUUAGGUGAAGAGGCCUAAAUUUUAUUGAAGGACAAGAAGACCCUAUCGAGCUUAAAAGACAUUAUAGAAGUUUAUAUAUCUCUAAAUAAAUUUUCUAUUGAGCUUUUUAGUUGGGGCGACUAAGGAACAAAAAAAGCUUCUUGCUAAUAAUAGACAGUCAUGUUUAGAUCCGAUAAUAAUCGAUCAAAGAAAUUAGUUACCGUAGGGAUAACAGCAUAAUCUCUCUUGAGAGACCUAAUCGAAAGAGGGGGUUGUGACCUCGAUGUUGGACUAGAAUAUCCUAAAGAUGCAGAAGUCUUUGAAGGUCGGUCUGUUCGACCGUUAAAAUUCU